UACGUAGGGUGCGAGCGUUAAUCGGAAUUACUGGGCGUAAAGCGUGCGCAGGCGGUGAUGUAAGACCGAUGUGAAACUCCCGGGCUUAACCUGGGAACUGCAUUGGUGACUGCAUUGCUGGAGUAUGGCAGAGGGGGGUGGAAUUCCACGUGUAGCAGUGAAAUGCGUAGAGAUGUGGAGGAACACCGAUGGCGAAGGCAGCCCCCUGGGCCAAUACUGACGCUCAUGCACGAAAGCGUGGGGAGCAAACAGG
rnacentral:rRNA from 1 species